AAAGUACUCCCUCCGUCCCAAAAUUCUUGUCCUAGAUUUGUUUAGAUACGGAUGUAUCAAGUCACAUUUUAGUAUUAGAUACAUCCGUAUCUAGACAAAUCUAAGACAAGAAAUUUGGGACAGAGGGAGUAGUUG
rnacentral:pre_miRNA from 1 species